UACGUAGGGGGCAAGCGUUGUCCGGAAUUAUUGGGCGUAAAGAGCGUGUAGGCGGUCAGAUAAGUCCGCUGUGAAAUCUCGAGGCUCAACUUCGAGCUGUCGGUGGAAACUAUCUGGCUAGAGUCCGGAAGAGGAGAAUGGAAUUCCUGGUGUAGCGGUGAAAUGCGCAGAUAUCAGGAAGAACACCCGUGGCGAAGGCGGUUCUCUGGGACGGUACUGACGCUGAGACGCGAAAGCGUGGGGAGCGAACAGG
rnacentral:rRNA from 1 species